UUGGAAAAUUCAGCCUGGAUUUCUUCAGAGUCUUCACUGCCUGGAGGUCAUUUGGGAACUCCCUGGUUUCUUCUGAGAGGAUUUGAGUUCUGACAGGAUAACUUUCCUGCAUGAAAAUGAAGCUGAUUUGGUGCUGGACAAACUCCGUCAAAGAACAGCAUUCAUAUCUGGUUGUACAUUUUAUUGGCUCAAAUCCAACCUUGAGUAAUCUGGCAUAUGCUACCUUGUUUCCUGAUGAGAAGAGGAUAGAACUGCAGAAUCCAUACUCCCUGCCUGGAUGCUGUGGAAUCUAAGUUGUCAUAUGUAAAGAGAGACAGAGAUUGGGGACAUCAAAGACAAGAGACUGGGAAAAUCCAAGAUUGAGGACUGUUUUAGCCUCAAUCUGCUGGAAGAUGGCCAACUUCUAUCUGCCAUAAACUUAUAAAGAAACAGAUUUCCAAACAUCAGAAACUCUACUUUACACACUAACUUCUGCUAAAAGAUGCCUGAGGUCCACAAUGAUCCAUCUUCAAGCAGGCAUGGUGUUGAGAGCAGAGGUGACACUUGAAUCAUGUUGAGAUGGCAUUAUGACAAAGGGACCCAGAAAUGCAUGCCUCCCAUUUUAUAAUCAUCACUUUCAUUGUGGGACUACAGGAGGGAUCUCACAUGUCAGAGACAAAGUAAAUGCGGAUCAAAACUACUCCCAGCCUGUUAGUAAUGGUGUCCCCCAGCUAGAUUGGAGGAGGGGUUCCUCUCUGCUAAUUUCCUAUCUGACCAUCAGGUAGAUAGCUUUGGAGAGAGAAAUCCCUUGCAUACUUUGGUGAGGAGGAGAUGAGAAGACAGGGAGGAAAUUCAAAGCAUGACUCAAGACAACAACAUCAGCAUCACCUGAAAGUUUGUAAGAGAUGCAGAAUCUGGGGCUCCAGCCAAUACCUACCCAAUCAAAACCACUAUUUAGAACAAGAUCUUCAUGUGAUUUGCUACGCAUUCAUGUUAGAGGAGCCUUCUCUCAUUGGCAUGUCUGUGCCAUCAUACACAACGAUCCUGCUCUCUAAUCAGGGGACUUUCUACCCCAAGUCUGAUCAAUUGGUUACUACUCUAUUAUUUGGAGGAACAGAGACUGGAGGAGCUGAGACUGCCUGCCAACUGCUUGUGUAAAAUGCUAGUUUUCAAUUUCUCUACUGUUGGAUUUUCUCUCCAUAUUUGUUUGUGAGAGACUCCUGACAAAAUAGCACAGACUGGGUUGCUGGCACCAUGAAUGCUGACUUUUUCAAAGUCCUGGAAGCUCAAGAUAAGGGUUUUGUAUGGCAAAUUUAUGCUGCGGGAUCUCUUCCUAGCUUGCAGGUGACCACCUUCUUAGAGACCCUUUUCAUAAAGGCACUAACUCCAUCACAAAGACUCCACCCUCAAGACUUUGUCUAGUCAUAUAGUUACCUCCAAAACACCCCAUCUCCUAAUUACCGUCAUGUUCAGGAUUAGAACUUGAACAUAUGAAUUUGAGGGACCACCAUUCAGUCCACAGCAGUACUCAUGUGCAGUGUGACUUUAGAAGAUGCAACAUUGCCCAAACUUUUUAAGUUACAGAACCCUGUUUUGAGAGUUCACACAUGGUGUGAUUAAUGUUUCAGAACAUGGUAUGGGAAGCUCUCCUCCAUGAGGAGUUGUUCUUGUUGAAGCGUGUGGAAUAAAGUCCCUCCUCAGCAUCCAUCCUGAUAGGAGAUGGAGUUUAAUGGUUUGCAGCUCGAAUUUUCGAAGGUUAAGCCAUCCACAGGGAAGUGACAUCUCAUAUGUGAGGGUUAGGAAG